rnacentral:rRNA from 1 species
UACGGAGGGGGCUAGCGUUGUUCGGAAUUACUGGGCGUAAAGCGCACGUAGGCGGCUAUUCAAGUCAGAGGUGAAAGCCUGGAGCUCAACUCCAGAACUGCCUUUGAAACUAGAUAGCUAGAAUCAUGGAGAGGUGAGUGGAAUUCCGAGUGUAGAGGUGAAAUUCGUAGAUAUUCGGAAGAACACCAGUGGCGAAGGCGGCUCACUGGACAUGUAUUGACGCUGAGGUGCGAAAGCGUGGGGAGCAAACAGG